AAAAAUCAAUAUUGCAGAACCUGUUUAAUCAUAAGCUGCAUCUGAUGAUACUUAAAAGUACAAGGCACGUACAAAUAUUUUACUGGUUAGGAAAACUUUUUCAAGAAAGAUGUGUCAAGGGUUGAUUAUAGAAAGUGAUUGUUUUCAGAAACCGGCUCCACCCUUUAUUCCUGAUCCUCUGUUCUGUUUCUGGUAGGUCAGUUUAAUGAAAGCCUAGACUAAAACACCCAUUUAAUCUAAGCAAAAGUUUAUUAUCUAAAUACAGUUUUUAUUAGAACAGAUUCGAGAAUACAUUUUCUCAUUUUUUGUUCUUUUUCUCAAAUAUUAAUGGAUAUAUUCUGGCUAAGGGCUCACUCAGCACUGAUCUGAGUAUUGGAAGCAUGUGGAAUGUAGAAAUCAUGUAUGGACAUGUUGAUGCAGUAGGGAAUUUCAUUUCCCAUUGGUGUCACAAUAGCUUCAACUUGCCAUAAAAGCACAGUUUAGGCAUGAAGGGUAGCAUGAACUUUCAAAACAUCAAGUAAAUGUGUAAGGUACUCAGACCUUCAUACUUCCAGAAAAAAAAGAUAUCCACUAUCAGAAAAAUUAGGAAGAAAGUUUCACUUCGGGCAUUUUAAUCUAAUGCUGUCCACGCUAAGAUUUCAAAUACUUUUUUUUCCCCCAGAACCUAGUUGGUGAAGACCACUGAAAAAGAUGAGAUGCUGUACUAGACAAGAGAAAGUUGGUUGCUGCUUUCAGGAACUGUGCCAAAAGGCUUUCUUUGCAUUCAAAGACGUCCCCCUCCACCCCCAAAUACUGAAGUUUACAGAUGCAGCUGCACCCCACUAGCCACCGUUACCUGCUUCUCAGUCUAUUUCUAAUCCCACCUUCUCUAGGGUCAGAUUUACGCAGUCUUGCCCAGGGACAAGUUUUCCAUGACACUGGAUUCAUCGCUCAGCUACAAUAUGGAUCUCUGGUUCAUAGGAAAUAAGACGCCUUGUGAGACAUUUGAACGCAGACCCUUAACUAGUUGCAGGGUCAGUCGUCAGAGAUGGGCAUUUGUCUAACCCUUUCCUAACGUGUGCUUAAGGCCUGGAUGAGGAGGAUGGCGCUGAGGCUGCGAACCAGGAGACCAGAACGCACCGACGGGUUUUAGACCACCCUGCGGGAGGAGGCGCUGGCCAUAGCCGCCGCAGGCAGACACGGGCCGGGUGCGGGCC
rnacentral:lncRNA from 1 species